rnacentral:rRNA from 1 species
CCUACGGGAGGCAGCAGUGAGGAAUAUUGGUCAAUGGGCGCGAGCCUGAACCAGCCAAGUAGCGUGAAGGAUGACUGCCCUACGGGUUGUAAACUUCUUUUAUAAAGGAAUAAAGUGAGGCACGUGUGCCUUUUUGUAUGUACUUUAUGAAUAAGGAUCGGCUAACUCCGUGCCAGCAGCCGCGGUAAUACGGAGGAUCCGAGCGUUAUCCGGAUUUAUUGGGUUUAAAGGGAGCGGAGGUGGGAUGUUAAGUCAGUUGUGAAAGUUUGCGGCUCAACCGUAAAAGUGCAAUUGAUACUGGCAGGAUUGAGUAAAGUAGAGGUAGGCGGAAUUCGUGGUGUAGCGGUGAAAUGCUUAGAUAUCACGAAGAACUCCGAUUGCGAAGGCAGCCUACUAAACUGCAACUGACGUUGAUGCUCGAAAGUGUGGGUAUCAAACAGGAUUAGAUACCCCUGUAGUC